ACAAUAGGCUGUCUGUGCUGUUGUGCAGCAAGUUUCUGUGUAUUUGCACCGCUUCAACCAGAAAGUGAACAAAUAAAUGCUGCCCACACCCCCUGCCUGGCUGCAGAAACCCAGAGAAACCAGAUAAAGUGGAGAGAAACCAGUGGAAACCUUGGUUUUCUUAUGUGACCCCUGCAGAGCUCUUCUUAGUUUGGUUCUGAGUUCGGCACAAGGUGAAGAUCACCAGCCCCACUCCAUCCAUUGCCAUGAAGACAACAGCUAAGCACCUGGAGCCUAAGAUGGUGCAACUUUACUCCCCAUCACUUCUUGCACUUGAGUCUGGGGAAUGAGUAAGACAAGAUAAACCUUGUUAGGCUGUACAUGUCCUAAUAAAGAUUUUUUUUACUUUUA